rnacentral:tRNA from 1 species
GGGCGGGUAGCUCAGUUUGGGAGAGCGUCGGAAUCGCACUCCGAAGGCCGCGAGUUCGAGCCUCGUCCCGUCCACCA